UCUCUGAUAAUAAAAGAUAAUUAUAUAUAUAGUUUUGCCCAAGAAGUGUAUAAAUGCCAUCAACACUACAUUCUAUCUAUAUUUAAAUUAUAUAUAUAGUCAGAAUAUUAUUUCUCUGUUGAUCAAAUGAUUUAGUUGCUGCAGAGACAAUUUAAAUUAAUGAGGGAGAAGAAAAAAUAAUGAUUGAACUACAAAACAGAAACAGCAGACAUGGCUAUACGAAAAUAAUGAAGAAAGUGAAGCAGAUAAUUAUUCAACGGAGGGCGAAGCAGACAUGGCUAUACGAACAGUUUCUAAGUCCAGACUGGUUUUUACAUCAGUAUAUUUAUUUUUGCUAAUUUAAAAAAAUAAAUAAAUAAAUCCAAGUCCAAUUAAUUUGUAUCGAUAAAAAGAAAAAAGAAAAAUAGAAGAAGCUAAGUACAGUUUUAAAUCCAUUCAAAUCAAUAAAAAUUCCUACCCUAUCUAUCUAUCUAUCUUCAAAUUCAAUCUGAUCUAUAUAUUUGACUCUUUGCUAAUUUAAAAUCACAAGUGAUUUUGUCAUGAAAAUGAAAAGGCUAUCAGUAAUUUCCAUGUAUGAACACAGAGGAUUUAACAUUUCAAACCCCAAGAACACUCAGCACUAAUGACAGUUACCAACGUAUUGUAGCAUUCAACUUUGUCAUCCAAUAGCAAGCAACAUAGUCCAAACUUUGCCUAAUUUGAUAUUUCAAUAUGAACUCACAAUCAACAAAUCUGAGACUUCAAUGUGAGUGAAAAACUCAUAACCCUAGAUAUGGAUCUAUGAAGAUGAAGAGAGAGAAAGAGCAAUAACUAUAACAACACCAAUGUAAAACAAAGAUUCAUAGCAAAUCAAACCAUGUAAUAGCACCUUAAUUCAAACCGAACAUCAACAGGAAAAAAAAAAA